rnacentral:rRNA from 1 species
GAUGAACGCUGGCGGCGUGCCUAAUACAUGCAAGUAGAACGCUGAAGCUUGGUGCUUGCACCGAGCGGAUGAGUUGCGAACGGGUGAGUAACGCGUAGGUAACCUGCCUGGUAGCGGGGGAUAACUAUUGGAAACGAUAGCUAAUACCGCAUAACAGUCGACAUUGCAUGGUGUUGAUUUGAAAGGGGCAAAUGCUCCACUACCAGAUGGACCUGCGUUGUAUUAGCUAGUUGGUGAGGUAACGGCUCACCAAGGCGACGAUACAUAGCCGACCUGAGAGGGUGAUCGGCCACACUGGGACUGAGACACGGCCCAGACUCCUACGGGAGGCAGCAGUAGGGAAUCUUCGGCAAUGGACGGAAGUCUGACCGAGCAACGCCGCGUGAGUGAAGAAGGUUUUCGGAUCGUAAAGCUCUGUUGUAAGAGAAGAACGAGUGUGAGAGUGGAAAGUUCACACUGUGACGGUAACUACCAGA